rnacentral:lncRNA from 1 species
UGGAUUAAUAUAUUCUCUGGUUGACAAAGGCCAAAGACCAUUCAAGGAUUAAUGCGAAAAUCAGUUGUUACAAAUUUACUCGUCUAUUAACAAUGACAGACACAAUUCAACUUUAAAUCGUUUGCACUAGAAAAAAUAAAUGCAAUACUCAAUAUCCAAAUCUAUGUUUACAUGGGCCCUUUUACAUGUAUAUUCGGGUAUAUAGGGGUUUAAGAUCUUUAGCAUUUUAGAAUCCCAACCCAUUUACAAUUCUCAAAGAAACAAUAGCAUCAAAAAGCAGGAAACUUCACUUGUUCCAUGUCCAAUGUUUCCACAUGCCAAUUACUCCUCUCGGGCCAGGGUAUGCGCAGAUGGAUUCCAAUUCUAAGAACACGACAAGGUGGUGUCAUUAUGUGCUGAAAUGUUGCACUGCCUUAUUGUACGACUGCGAUUUUGAAAUUACAUAACCACACCAUGCAAGUGGUUCGGACUUCUUCUGGCUGAGGCUAGGCACAAAACCGGGGGGUUAGGGUUUCAUUUUUAAAUUCGGAAAGAGCCAAGAGAGGGACGGGUUUGAGAUCCUGAGGAUAUUUUUGAAACAGAAAUUGGGGAAAUGAGAAAUAAAACAAAGAGAGAAAGAAAUCGGAUCUCACCAUAUUUGUGCAAUGCUCUGAAAGAGAUUUGCUCUGCUCAGCUUUUGAAAUUCUGAAAAAAGGUGUGUGUGUGAGAGAGAGAGAGCGAUAGCGAGCGAGCGUGUGUGUUCA